rnacentral:lncRNA from 1 species
AGGAGUCAGUGAUGCUCAGUGAAUGAGUGCUCAAAAAAAGGCUCUGGGAGGCAGUUAACAGGAGUGGAAGAGGAACAAGAGGCAGCAGAAGAAAGGCCCCAAGAGAAAGUAAUUCCAGAAGCCAUAUGGAAGAUUGACCAGAGGGGCAAUGCUAGAGGCUGGAUGGUUAUUGAAAUUGCCUGGUGAAGCACUAUUGAGGAGCUGAAAUGGGAAAGGAACAGUCGGAAUAGAAGAGAAGAAGUGCUCGUAAGUGGUAUUAACUCUCUUGGUUUACAUCCUUGGUUUGUAAGAGGAGGAUGUCCACAAAGUUUUGUGAAUUGCCCAAGAUUGCUAAGUUAAUAAGCAGCUGUUCAGAACCUUAGUCCAGCACACUUUUUAUCCCAUUGGUAGAAUAGUGGGAAAAGAAACUAAUGGAAAUAAAAAAUCUUUGACUUUGAGAAUUAGACUUUGGGGAGCUUAUCUAAUGCAAACACUCAAUGCCAUCAGAUUUUGUUCAUAACUGAUUUUAAAUGUGAACCUCCUCAAAGAUAUUACUUUCUUCUUAACUUAUAAGACCUGCCAAU